AUUGAACGCUGGCGGCAGGCCUAACACAUGCAAGUCGAGCGGUAACGCGGGGCAACCUGGCGACGUGCGGCGGACGGGUGAGUAACGCGUAGGAAUCUACCUGGUAGUGGGGGAUAGCCCGGGGAAACUCGGAUUAAUACCGCAUACGCCUCAAGGGGGAAAGUGGGGGAUCUUCGGACCUCACGCUAUCAGAAGAGCCUGCGUUGGAUUAGCUAGUUGGUAGGGUAAAAGCCUACCAAGGCGACGAUCCAUAGCUGGUCUGAGAGGAUGAUCAGCCGAACUGGAACGGGGACACGGUCCAGACUCCUACGGGCGGCAGCAGUGGGGAAUAUUGGACAAUGGGGGCAACCCUGAUCCAGCCAUGCCGCGUGUGUGAAGAAGGCCUUCGGGUUGUAAAGCACUUUAAGCAGGGAGGAAGGCUUCACGGUUAAUAACCGUGGGGAUUGACGUUACCUGCAGAAUAAGCACCGGCUAACUCCGUGCCAGCCGCCGCAGUAAAAC
rnacentral:rRNA from 1 species